CCAAGUUAUUACUUGAAUAUUUUAGUUUCGGCCUAUAUGUGUACCUUUUCGUAAUUAUGGGGGGAUGCUGGAUUCUGGAUAUAAUGGCGUUUAUAUGCGAAACCCAAAAGGUUUUUAAACAAUUUACCAAAGCGAAUGACCUGAUCAACUGCAGUCCCAUAAGGGACCGAAUACAACCCAUACGCACUAGUGGCAUUGAAUUUGAAACAAUGCAAUUGCACAAUGACGCAGGACUGUCAACUGAUGCAGCAAAUAAAUUAGUUCCAAAACAUUUGUAUAUAUUACUAUAUAACUUGUUUGCUUAUCAGUCCGUUGUGGUUCUCUCAAUAAACAUACUGAAAUGCACUUUAUCAUUA